AGGAGCCGAAGAGACGUGUGCGCUAGCAUACGAGGAGGCAAUGGUGGGAUACUACCCUGGCUGUAUGCCCAUUCUAACCCGCCACGCUUAGCGCGUGGGGAGACAGUGUCAGGUGGGCAGUUUGACUGGGGCGGUCGCCUCCUAAAGAGUAACGGAGGCGCCCAAAGGUUCCCUCAGAAUGGAUGGAAAUCAUUCGCAGAGUGUAAAGGCACAAGGGAGCU
rnacentral:rRNA from 1 species